GCAACCUGGUCUAGUGGAAGGUGUCCCUGCUUGCAAAGGGAAAAACUGCUGCCUGAAGGUACCAUGAUGGCCCCGGCCACGGCGCAUCACCACACACCGCACCGGGAUGGCCCCAGCAGCAGCACCUCGCCACCCCUGGUAAAAACUGUGUGUGCGCUGCUUUGACUUUCUUCUUCAAUGUGUCAUCACAAAAGAGUUACCAGCCUCUCUGAUUGGGCCAGCAGCAUGUCCAUCUUCAGAGCCAUCAGUGAUUGGCUUCCAGCAGCUUCUCACAGGAGCCACUUUCUGUGGCACUCCUCGGCUACCAAAAAACCCAGCUGUGCCAAAUCAACACAAA